GCGCACAUUGGACAAAGUAACACUACGAAUGAGAUUCUACAAUCAUGGAAGAUAUUUAUUUUAUUUUAUUCAACUAUCAUUUAAUUUAUUUCAACUAUAACUAUAAAUUACAUCAUAUAUAAAUACAUGUCAAGCACAAAUAUAUAUUAAUUAAAAUACAUUAAAUAUUCUAUUUCAAAAACAGAGCUUUUGACACAUAGACAGUCCGGCUGUCUGUGAAUUUUUUAUAUGUUAACAUAGAUUCUUUGUAUUCUGUGUAAAAUCUAAAAUCAUUUUAUAUCUAAUUAUAUGCAUUACACUUGAGCUUGGGAAAUUUACACAUAUAUGCUGACAAGACUCAUAAUAAAUGGUUCUCAAUGAACUCGAGCGACCAGAUCUUACAUCCGACAGAACUCAAGUGUACUUUCCAGUGAAGCCUUACUGACGUGUGCAUUUACGAUAUAAAUCACAGAGACAACUGACAUUACGCAACUAACUCGCUGCAUCAUGAUUCAGGAAGCCCAAAGCCCAUUUCGUAAUUACUAAUUAAUAGAUGAAUUUCACUAAGAUUCGGUUGAUAGGCCAUCGACCCUGUCAGCUUUAGCUGUAUCUUUCAAUCGUGAUUAAAUAAGUGCUUCAAUCAAUAAAAAAAACAACGGCAACGUUCUGUUAUUACUGGCCCUACCUUACACGCAGAAGAUGGAGGUCAACCUGCAGUUAUCAGAGUGGGAAAAUAUGCUAAUUCGUUUCAUUAUAUGCACCUA